rnacentral:pre_miRNA from 1 species
CAAAUACUCCCUCCGUCUGGAAAUACUUGUCAUCAACAUGGAUAAAAGGAAAUGUAUCUAGACGUAUUUUAGUUUUAGAUACAUCUCUUUUUAUCCAUUUUGAUGACAAGUAUUUUCGGACGGAGGGAGUAGAAA